GGUGUAGAAUGUUGGUGUAUUUUAGUGUCUCUCUUAUUGUUCACAUUUCUAGUCUAGGAACAGGCCAGGGCCUCUCAUACUGAUACAAGGUGUUAUCCCCAACAUUCUGCCAUUGUUAAGUCUCAAGGUUGAACCUGGUCCUCCGGGACAUACAUAGCCAGGGCCAAAUACCUUAUCAAGGCUGAGAGUGCGUCUGUUCACGUGUUAUCCCCAACAUUCUGCCAUUGUUAUGUCUCAAGGUUGAACCUGGUCCUCCGGGACAUACAUAGCCAGGGCCAAAUACCUUAUCAAGGCUGAGAGUGCGUCUGUUCACGUGUUAUUCAUCUAUCCCCUUUUUGUAUAAUACUCGCCCCAACCCUUUGGUUCGACGAGUAGAGGGUUUCGACAGCCAAGGAACAAGUCAUCGACCACCGGGUCCACUAUAGAUUAUUCAACCUGUAUCUGUAUCUCGCUGUAUUCCUGGAAAAUAAACCAUCUAUUCAACCCUCUAAUCCAACCUGUCAAGCUGCUUUGAUUUCGACUUCAAGAAUUACUACUACGACUGAAAAUACACAACGCAGAGUCUGUCCGAACAGUUUAGAAAUAAGCUGAAAUCUAACAGGGGGAGGUUGUGAGGGUCCGCAACCAGAGACGUCUCUCUGAUUCUGCUGCUGACAUUGGUGUGGUGAUGAGGAUCUUGAGAAGACUUACAGUUUCGCUGAAUGUGUAGUCCAGUAGUCCACUGCAGCCCUUGAAGUCCUCAUGCUCGUAGAUCAGGAACAGUUCUGUUUUAAGUCUGGCUUUGUCUAACAUGGGAUAGGCAUCCAAUGUGGUUUCCAGCGCUGAAUCUGGGAACUUUCUGUUGUGUUGUGAGAACUGAUGAGAUGCUUGGUGAAAUAAA
ensembl:lncRNA